rnacentral:lncRNA from 1 species
GUUAUUAGAGAUGAUGGAGGUUAAAAGGAUGCUGCUUAACAAAGAUAAAAGCUCACUUAGACUAGUAAUCUUUUUUUCUUUUUAAAGAAACAUAGGAUUACAGAAAUAUUUAAUGAAUUAAUAAGGUACUUCUCAACACAUUUUUUUCAUUGCCAACUAGUUUUUCCAGGUUAUGUACAUAAUUGAAAAAGUGUUGUGUUGCGUGUUAUGCUUUGAUGCAGUCUUGUUUUGUAAUCCAUUGCUUUCAAAUUUCUAUCAUCAUCUUCUAAUUAUCUUAAAUUUGCACUGUGCUACUAGAAUAGAAUGAUGGUAUUAUUACUAUUAUUACUGGCAGCAGAAUUGAAACCUGGAGUAUAAGUGGUUUGCAGACCAUUCAUAGAUUCAUGUAACCGUAGAGAUUCAUGGUUGAGUAGUUGAGCACCUGACUUCUAUGGGAAAAGCAGCGCUCUUCAAGUUACUGCCUAAUUAACAAACACACUUCAUGGAUUGAGGAUUUAAAGGGGAAGAAUGGUCAUGCUUAGUACAAUUGAAUGCAUAUUUGCUACUAAUUACAUAUACCUCACAUUUUCUCUUAGAGACCAACUGCUUUAAAAAUAUUUUAUUAAAUGUUUUUGUUACCCUGACAGAGAUACAUUCCUUUAAGGGUGUUUUCAGCAAAACAUUCAAGUUUUCAGGAAGUAUUAUCUUUCUUUCCUUUUACCCCUUUCCCAUUUCCAUGAAAUUAAAAGGAAAUGCAUAGCCAAGUGUUUUUUCCCAGAAGAAAAUAAUAAGAAAUAUGCUGAUUUUACAGAACAGUAUGAACAGUUAUAAGGGUCUAUGUAAAAGGCAGCGUGUGUUCAUUCUCCAUGCAUACUAUUAGUAAAAAUGAAUGGACUUUCUCCUCAUCUGUUUUUAUUUAGAGCAGGACCUUCUUGCAUUGAAUUUCCUGUGUCAGCUGUGUUCUAAUUCUGUAAAGCCUUUGGUUAAGGAACAGCUCUGACUCUAUAUCCCUAUCUUUUCCUUUCCCAUGUCUUAAUUUUGAGUUCUUAUCACUCUGAUAAUAAGCAGACAUUUCUGAAAAUCAGAAAUCCUGCAGUUCCACUUUAGUUUUUCUUUCUCUUCCACUACCUUUCCUCUCUUAGAACAGUAAAUAUGUCAGAUGGGAACCUAAAGUCAACCUCUGUGCUGUCUUGCUCUGACUUAAAUGCUCUCAUCCAAGUAGGUGGCAUUUCUCAUGAGGGGCCAGACAGAGUUAUGGAACACCACAAGCAGGGUAGCCUUCGGAUUUGACUUGAGAAAUUAGGAAGAAUCUGGUGGUCCUGACUAAGAGUGCCAGUGAUAAAAAUCCAGGUGAGCACAGACCAUUGUCAUAAGAGGGGCCUGCACACAGUUCUAGAUAGGUAUGUUUACAGGAAUUCGUGGUCUGAAUAGCAGGGCUAGAUCAGAUUUGAGAUCUGAUUUACCUAAUACUAGAAAGAAUGUAGUCAGUCAGGAGACUCAGGCCGGACUUUUUAUUUGAUAAAGAAAUGAAACUGUUGAUGUUGGUUUCUUCAGUAGGAUUUCUCUACUUCUUUUAGACUUCUCAAAAGGUUUUUGUUUCUUUAGUUGUUGCUUUUGUUGUUGUUCCCCUACCCUCAGAAGACUGAAUGAGAAGAAAUAAGUCAAAUUUGAUCAUCGAUACUUUGUAUUUAUGCAGAACUAAACAAUUCUAGUGACAAAGGACAUUUAGUCAGUGGGGCGAUAUUGGUAGAAAUGAAGCCUAGUGACAUGAGGCUGAGGGCUCUGCCUGAAAAUGUGGAACUUUGGGUUUUGGUCUUUGCGUGAUGUGGUUAACACUUUUUGUCUACCUGAUUUAUUUUGUCAUCUGACACGUGAAGGCAAUUUGCUACCUGAGAAUAGAAAUGCCAAAAUAAGAUAAAAUGUCUAUCAAAUUGGGUACACAGAUCUUUUAAAAAAAUUUACUCUACAUUUUCUUAAGCUCACUUGGAGUGAUUGGACAAAAGUGUUCAGAUUGAAAUGGAUGCAGUCCCCUGAUGUUAAAAUGUUGCUGGGACAAAAGUUACAUAUCGGGUUGUUAAAAAAAACAUGGCAGAAGCCUCUGUGGACUAUGUGUAUGUGAAAAUGGCACAUUUCAACAGCAUGAUCUGUCUAUAGGAUAAGAUGGUGGUUCCUCAAGUUGAGGGGGCAUCAGAAUAACCUGGAGGUUUGUUAAAAUACAGAUUGCUGAACUUCAUCCUCAGAGUUUAUGACUUAGUAGACCUAGAUGGUAUGCAAGAAUUGACAUUCUAGUAAAUUCUCAGGUAUUUCUGAAAUUGGUGGUCCAGGGACUCUACUUGGAGAACCACUUGAAUCACAAUUAUGUUUCUGUAACUAUUUAGAAUAAUUAGCAGGAAGCAGAGUGAGGAAAAUCCUGGAAGCUUAGAUUAGAUUGUAAAUAUGAAAUAUUGCAAACUGAUAGCUUAAGGCUGGCACCAAAGGGUUUAAGAAUUGAAUGUUCAUAUCACCCUCUACUAAAUAUGUAGGACACUUACCGUGAGACUGGGGAUUAGGGAUUCACAACAUUAUAAAGGGUAAAAAAAAAAUCCUUUCUAUACAGCCAACUAUUGAUCUCUACAAAUUGUCCGUAUAGCCUCUCUGUUAAAUACGCCUAUAAAUAGGAUCAACUUUGAAAUAGAAAUAUUUUAGGUUAAGCUUCAGGCCAUCCCUGUGAACUUUAUUUACACACACACACUCAAAUAUAUGUAUAAAAACCUGCAAAAAAUAUAUAGCCACAUUUGUGUAAAUAUGUAUACACACAUAUAUACGUAUGUAUUUAUAUACACAUUUCUAAGACAGUGUGAUAGGUGAACACUUACGUUUCCUAAACUUUAGCUUCAUUAUGUUAUCCUUUGUUCCCUAGAUUCACUAAAUAUUUCACAGCAGGCUCAAGGUCU